UACGUAGGGUCCGAGCGUUGUCCGGAAUUACUGGGCGUAAAGCGCUCGUAGGUGGUUUGUCGCGUUGUUCGUGAAAACUCACAGCUCAACUGUGGGCGUGCGGGCGAUACGGGCAGACUAGAGUACUGCAGGGGAGACUGGAAUUCCUGGUGUAGCGGUGGAAUGCGCAGAUAUCAGGAGGAACACCGGUGGCGAAGGCGGGUCUCUGGGCAGUAACUGACGCUGAGGAGCGAAAGCGUGGGGAGCGAACAGG
rnacentral:rRNA from 1 species